rnacentral:rRNA from 1 species
AUGUUUAGGAAAAUGUACCAAGGUGGCCCUUCAAGGAAGCAAGGACCCAGGCUUGCAAUGCGCGAUGCCGACGAUGAACCACCAAGGGACGCUCAAGUGCGGGCUUGUGAAUGGCCUUCAGAGGACUUCAUGGAUCGAGCGGGAAUCAAGGAAGAAUUUAACGCAUAUGUGCAUAACGCUGAUCUUGUGAGCUUCGAGGUAGAUAAGUGCCGUCAGUACCACUAUCUCACUAAUUCCUUUGUGAGGAGGUUUGAAUUUUCAUCAUCACGUGGUAAGGAUGAAACAUGUCACAUGUGUGUCCCUGACCUCAUUGUUCUUAGGAGUGCUGUAUUAUGA